rnacentral:misc_RNA from 1 species
GAUGAAGAACUUAGCGAAAUGCGAUAAGUAAUGUGAAUUGCAGAAUUCAGUGAAUCAUCGAAUCUUUGAACGCACAUUGCGCCCUCUGGUAUUCCGGGGGGCAUGCCUGUUCGAGCGUCAUUAUAACCACUCAAGCUCUCGCUUGGUAUUGGGGUUCGCGGUUUCGCGGCCCCUAAAAUCAGUGGCGGUGCCUGUCGGCUCUACGCGUAGUAAUACUUCUCGCGAUUGAGUUCGAUAGGUCUACUUGCCAGUAACCCCCAAUUUUUACAGGUUGACCUCGGAUCAGGUAGGGAUACCCGCUGAACUUAAGCAUAUCAAUAAGCGGAGGA